AUGUGUUAUAAAGCAAUAGGAGCAGGGAAGGAAAGAACGAACCCAGAGCAGCAAGAUCAGCCAUCUAAUAAGCAGUCCCCUCUGGCAGUCUCCACAGCCCAAGAAAGCUGCAGGUCAGGAACUUCCCUCCCCUCCCUCCUCCAACUCAAGAUUUCACCCAAAAGGGUGAUUUCUCGAAGAAAAGAUGGACUUAUGUUCGUCCCCUCUCCUCCUGGACACAUUUCAGCUCCCGUGACGUGUGUUUCUCUUGGCCUGUGUUUCUCUUUCCUCUCUGUCUCCCACACCCAGUUUCUAUGUGGAAGCACUGUUCCCACUGCCUGCCUCCACCCUCAGAGGGGAGAGGAGCCCCGGAUUAUGAAACAGCAGUGUGCGAGCAAGCAGAGGAGAAAGCAGCUGUCACUGGGGUUCAGUCAAUUUCACCGAAGUUUCACCUGAAAGGUUGUGAUGGCUUUGUGUCCUGAUGGGGCUCUGGGAGACUACUGAGACCGGAAGAGUCUCAGUUGCAGAAGAGUCUGCAGAUGUGAGUGCAGAGUCAGAUUUCAGAGGUGCCAAAAAGCCAUGCCUGGGAGACAAAGUAUCUCCGACAUGCAGGCUGGGGCAAGCCUGUGGGUCAGAGAAAUUCAGGCUCACUCACCAAAACGAGCAGACUCUUUUGCACGGCAGCCAUCUAGUGUGGACACGGCAGAUCCGAGGUCUCUCUGCUCUAAACAAGCUGCUUGUUUCACAUGCCCACUGGACCAGUCAAUGUGGAUUUCCAGGGUGCAGGCUCGACCUCGUGGAUUUCAUCAAGGCCUCUGAGAAAGUCUGACAUGAACAGUUUCUGGAUGAGCUCUAGCUGUCUCUUAUUUCNNNNNNNNNNNNNNNNNNNNNNNNNNNNNNNNNNNNNNNNNNNNNNNNNNNNNNNNNNNNNNNNNNNNNNNNNNNNNNNNNNNNNNNNNNNNNNNNNNNUCUGACAUGAACAGUUUCUGGAUGAGCUCUAGCUGUCUCUUAUUUCUAGCUGGCAGAAGGACCUUGACUGGUGUCUGACAUGCUGUGGCCUUGAUACGCCAUGCCUACUUUUGGGCAAAGAUAGAGCAGCCACAUUUAUCAAAAGCUAGGUCAAUUGUCCAAAAUAUUUAAGAGUUAAGGAGGCACGGAUGAGCACAUACCACGGAUUUAAUGUAAAAAUCUUCUGUGGACAGCACAGAAUGAAGUUGAAGUGACUUGGUCAUAGUUCAAAUUUAACAGAUGGGCUUUUAACUGACUCUAGGGUAUUAAUUCCUGGGGCUUCUGUAAAAAGUGGCCACAAUCUGGGUGUCUUAAAACAACGGAAAUGUAUCCUCUCACAAUUCUGGGCCUAGAAGUCCAAAAUUAAGGAGUCAUCAGUACUAUACUCAUUGCGAAGGCUCCAGGAAAGACUCUUCCUUGCCUCAUCUGGCUCCUGGUGAUUGCCAGCAAUCCUAGUGUUCGUUGGUUUGUGGCAACAUAUCUCCAACUCUGCCUCUGUCUUCACAGGACCCUCUUUCCUGUUUUUAUGUCUCUGGAUCCCGAUUAUUUCCCUUUUGUUGUAAGGACCGGUCACUGGAUUAGGGCUGGCACAGCUUCCGUAUAACUUCAUCUUAAUGACAUCUACGAAGACCCUAUUUUCAAACAAGAUCACAAUCCAGGUACUGGGAGUUUAGGACUUGAACAGAUCUUUCUUUUUAAAAUGGAAAUAACUUGAACAAAUUCUGAGGGGAGACACUGUUCAACCCAUAACACCUCGUACGGCUGACAGUGUGGUGCAGCUGCCACUGAACGAUCUCACGAUGGUGAUGAGGCCACAUCAUGACAGAUGAUCCUGGGGAAGGAGGGUGGUGCUCCUAACCUGCUGGCGGGUGCAUCCUGAGGCUUCUUGGCGGGAUUUGGCUCCUUCUGAUCCCCUUGACUUCCAUGCCGCACUCUCCAUUUCUCUCUCUCUCUCAAUUGUUUAUUUUUAAUUGGAGGAUAAUUGCUUUACUGUAUCGUGUUGUGCGGAAAAUUCUGAAAGAGAUGGGAAUACCAGACCACCUGACCUGCCU
rnacentral:lncRNA from 1 species